UACGGGGGGGCAAGCUUGUUCGGAAUUACUGGGCGUAAGGGCUCGUAGGUGGCCAACUAAGUCAGACGUGAAAUCCCUCGGCUUAACCGGGGAACUGCGUCUGAUACUGGAUGGCUUGAGUUCGGGAGAGGGAUGCGGAAUUCCAGGUGUAGCGGUGAAAUGCGUAGAUAUCGGGAGGAACACCAGUGGCGAAGGCGGCGAUCUGGGAAGAUACUGACGCUGAGGUGCGAAAGCGUGGGAG
rnacentral:rRNA from 1 species